rnacentral:rRNA from 1 species
GACGAACGCUGGCGGCGUGCUUAACACAUGCCAGUCGAACGGAAAGGCCCUGCUUUUGUGGGGUGCUCGAGUGGCGAACGGGUGAGUAACACGUGAGUAACCUGCCCUUGACUUUGGGAUAACUUCAGGAAACUGGGGCUAAUACCGGAUAGGAGCUCCUGCUGCAUGGUGGGGGUUGGAAAGUUUCGGCGGUUGGGGAUGGACUCGCGGCUUAUCAGCUUGUUGGUGGGGUAGUGGCUUACCAAGGCUUUGACGGGUAGCCGGCCUGAGAGGGUGACCGGCCACAGUGGGACUGAGAUACGGCCCAGACUCCUACGGGAGGCAGCAGUGGGGAAUAUUGCACAAUGGGCGGAAGCCUGAUGCAGCAACGCCGCGGGCGGGAGGACGGCCUUCGGGUUGUAAACCGCUUUCGCCUGUGACGAAGCGUGAGUGACGGUAAUGGGUAAAGAAGCACCGGCUAACUACGUGC